rnacentral:lncRNA from 9 species
GAGCAGAGUUCAUCUCUAGUAUCUUAUCCUGGGCACUAGGCUGGCAUAGCAGAAGCUGGAGGCCAAGGACAGUCUAUCCCUAGUCUCUUGUGCUCUGCUUCCAGGGAAGCUUUUCUAGAGCAGGAGAGUGAGGUCCAUACACAAGUGGAAGUGGCCAGUCCAUCAUCCCUGAGUUGUCUGAGCCAGUUCUCAGCCAAGGGACUUUGGCUCUCCUUGCUGUCCACUAGCUUGGCCUUCCCUCCCCUCCUCUAACCACCUUCUCUGCCUUUUCCCAGGAUGGCUGGCUGCCUGGUUUGGAGAGAAACACCCUCUUGCUUUUCUGUGUUGCCCAGUUCGUGUGCCCAGCCUCACGCCAGGGCUCUGCUUUGGACCCAUUCAGAGUGGGGCCUGGGCAUCAGGCAGCAAGGUGAGACCACGUCCCAUGGGUUUGGGGGGUGGUCAGGAAGCAGAGCUGGAUGAAGAGAUCAGCCCCAUUGCUGCCCCGGGAGUCCCCAGAUCCCAGCCCUGGAUGACCAGGGAGGGAGAUGAGAUCAUCAGUUGCACACAAGACAGUGUCCUUAGGGCCAGAGACCCCACAGAGCCAUCAGGGUGGCCCCUCCCCUCCCAGCCCCUUGCUUGGUGGUGCCCAUGCCCCUCCCUAUGUUCCAGAUCACUGCUUCUGGCUCAUAUCCCCUGUGUCUCCUCUGGCCAUGGGAACACCUGGCAUCUUCUUGUGCCAGGUUCCGUGCUGGGUGGAGCAGGACAGCAGCCAGUCUGGAGCCUGGACCCUCCCAACGUCUGGAGUCAGGAGACCAUCCUCAGCAAGACUUGUAUCUUGCAGAGAUCCAACUCCACAGCAGGUUAAUAAAAAGGGGUAACCUACUGAAGACUUUGGGGGGCCCAGGAGAGAUGCCAGGCAGCAUUCAGCAGAAGCGUCACAGUUCUUCAGGAACCACAGCCCUUCUCUCCCAUCAGCAGCCUCUUCUGUUCUGUCCUCUGCUUCAGCACAGCCUCUAAAGACAUUCUGAGGUGUCCUGUGCAACUCGGCCCUGACAUGGUAACUGUAUAAUUUAUAUUUCAAACUGGGGUUCUCUGAAGUUGAAAAGAGGGCUAUUAACACAUCAGGUCCAAACCCAGCAAACCACUAGCUCUGCCUUAUGCACCCCUCUUGGUGCAGAACAAGCCUGUGGUUUGCUAAAGAGGUUUGCUAUUUCCUCCAUUCUCCUUAGAGACAGGAACAGAUUUCUCUCUGUGGGUCAAUUUGGCUGCUAAGAAAAUAUUUAC